UACGUAGGGUGCAAGCGUUGUCCGGAAUUAUUGGGCGUAAAGAGCUCGUAGGCGGCCUGUCGCGUCGGCUGUGAAAACCCGAGGCUCAACCUCGGGCCUGCAGUCGAUACGGGCAGGCUAGAGUUCGGUAGGGGAGGACUGGAAUUCCUGGUGUAGCGGUGAAAUGCGCAGAUAUCAGGAGGAACACCGGUGGCGAAGGCGGGUCUCUGGGCCGAUACUGACGCUGAGGAGCGAAAGCGUGGGGAGCGAACAGG
rnacentral:rRNA from 1 species